rnacentral:rRNA from 1 species
GACGAACGCUGGCGGCGUGCCUAAUACAUGCAAGUAGAACGCUGAAGGAGGAGCUUGCUUCUCUGGAUGAGUUGCGAACGGGUGAGUAACGCGUAGGUAACCUGCCUGGUAGCGGGGGAUAACUAUUGGAAACGAUAGCUAAUACCGCAUAAGAGUAGAUGUUGCAUGACAUUUGCUUAAAAGGUGCAAUUGCAUCACUACCAGAUGGACCUGCGUUGUAUUAGCUAGUUGGUGGGGUAACGGCUCACCAAGGCGACGAUACAUAGCCGACCUGAGAGGGGGGUUCGCCCACAUUGGACUGAGACCACGCCCAGGCUCCUUCCGGGAGGAGCAAGAGGGAAACUUCGGCCAUAGACGGCAGUCUGACCGAACAACGCCGCGGUAGGUAAGAAAGGUUUCGGGUCGUAAAGCUCUGUUGUUAGGGAAGAACGAGUGGCAGAGUGAAAAGUUGACACUGUGACGGUAUCUUACCAGAAAGCACCGGCUAACUACGUG